rnacentral:rRNA from 1 species
AUUGAACGCUGGCGGCAUGCCUUACACAUGCAAGUCGAACGGUAACGGGCCUUCGGGUGCCGACGAGUGGCGAACGGGUGAGUAAUACAUCGGAACGUGCCCGAUCGUGGGGGAUAACGAGGCGAAAGCUUUGCUAAUACCGCAUACGAUCUACGGAUGAAAGCAGGGGACCGCAAGGCCUUGCGCGGACGGAGCGGCCGAUGGCAGAUUAGGUAGUUGGUGGGAUAAAAGCUUACCAAGCCGACGAUCUGUAGCUGGUCUGAGAGGAUGAUCAGCCACACUGGGACUGAGACACGGCCCAGACUCCUACGGGAGGCAGCAGUGGGGAAUUUUGGACAAUGGGCGCAAGCCUGAUCCAGCCAUGCCGCGUGCAGGAUGAAGGCCUUCGGGUUGUAAACUGCUUUUGUACGGAACGAAAAGCCUUCUUUUAAUACAGGAGGGUCAUGACGGUACCGUAAGAAUAAGCACCGGCUAACUACGUGC